CGAAUUUUUUUGGACAACUCUGCCCGAUACAUUCUUCUGCACUACAGCAUAUUCAGGUCUGGGCGACCGAGCAGGAGAUGUACAACCGGAACCAGAAUUAGCCGAACUUGAACGUGAGCGAAGUCCGUGUAAAUUUGUUGGUUUCAUUACUCGAUCCACUCUGAUAUAGAAAAGAGAAACAAUCAAUUGAUUGAUGAGGAUAAUAACAAAAAGUAUACGCAAUCUUGGCAUUGAAUUGAAUAUAAAUUUUUAUAAUUUAAAUAGCAACACUGUUAAAAAAAUAACAAUCAUGAAGAUGUUAUACUCACGGACGAUGCGGCUUGUUUUCCUCUCCAAGUUUCUCAAAUAAAGCCCUUGCAUUGUUAAAUCGAGCAACGUGACUCUCUGUUCGUACAACGGUUACUUGCGUAGGAGAAUCUUUCAACGGUGCUGGAGGAUCUUUCAUGGGAUCCGAUAAAACAACAUUUGUUCUGUGACUAAGGUUUUCUAGUUGUGGUUUUGACUGGAAUAUAUUUGCAAUUGCCGACACUUUUGAGCCUCCAUGGCGUUUCUUGUCAUCGACUGCAGCCAUCUUUAUUCCGUUAAAUGAUUCUGGAAGAACAAGA